AGGCUUAAUACAUGCAAGUCGUGGGGUAGAGGGGUGCUUGCACUUCUUGAGACCGGCAAACGGGUGCGGAACACGUACACAACCUUCCUUUUAGAGGGGGAUAGCCCAGGGAAACUUGGAUUAAUACCCCGUAAGAUGUUGGUGAGGCAUCUCACUGAUAUUAUAGCAGCGAUGCGCUAGAAGACGGGUGUGCGUAUGAUUAGGUAGUUGGCGGGGUAAUGGCCCACCAAGCCAACGAUCAUUAACUGGUGUGAGAGCACGACCAGUCACACGGGCACUGAGACACGGGCCCGACUCCUACGGGAGGCAGCAGUAAGGAAUAUUGGUCAAUGGACGCAAGUCUGAACCAGCCAUGCCGCGUGGAGGAUGAAGGUCCUCUGGAUUGUAAACUUCUUUUAUCUGGGGCGAAAAAGGGUCUUUCUAGAUCAACUGACGGUACCAGAUGAAUAAGCACCGGCUAACUCCGUGCCAGCAGCCGCGGUAAUACGGAGGGUGCAAGCGUUAUCCGGAUUCACUGGGUUUAAAGGGAGCGUAGGUGGGCUAGUAAGUCAGUGGUGAAAUCUCCGAGCUUAACU
rnacentral:rRNA from 1 species